rnacentral:lncRNA from 1 species
CAUGUUUUGAGUAAGCCAUUUCAUUAUUUUUUGGAAUGAUUGUGAUAAUGACAUUUAAACAAUGAUUAAUUUGGUAAAAUAAUUCAAGCUACUAUUUUAGAAACAAGACAAAAUCAAGCUACGAAAAGUUGAAUCUACCUCAUACCUGGGCAUGUAUAUCAUGAGUACGUGUCUGGAUGACUAGAUUGCAACCAUGCACUGAGCACAAGCUCGUCACGUGUGAUUUCGUGCUCAUCGUAAUU